GAUGAACGCUGGCGGCGUGCCUAAUACAUGCAAGUCGAGCGAACAGACGAGGAGCUUGCUCCUCUGACGUUAGCGGCGGACGGGUGAGUAACACGUGGAUAACCUACCUAUAAGACUGGGAUAACUUCGGGAAACCGGAGCUACUACCGGAUAAUAUAUUGAACCGCAUGGUUCAAUAGUGAAAGACGGCUUUGCUGUCACUUAUAGAUGGAUCCGCGCCGCAUUAGCUAGUUGGUAAGGUAACGGCUUACCAAGGCAACGAUGCGUAGCCGACCUGAGAGGGUGAUCGGCCACACUGGAACUGAGACACGGUCCAGACUCCUACGGGAGGCAGCAGUAGGGAAUCUUCCGCAAUGGGCGAAAGCUUGACGGAGCAACGCCGCGUGAGUGAUGAAGGUCUUCGGAUCGUAAAACUCUGUUAUUAGGGAAGAACAAAUGUGUAAGUAACUAUGCACGUCUUGACGGUACCUAAUCAGAAAGCCACGGCUAACUACGUG
rnacentral:rRNA from 1 species